rnacentral:rRNA from 1 species
CCUACGGGAGGCAGCAGUAGGGAAUCAUCCGCAAUGGACGAAAGUCUGACGGUGCAACGCCGCGUGAGUGAUGAAGGUUUUCGGAUCGUAAAACUCUGUUGUCGGGGAAGAACAAGUACCGUUUGAAUAAGACGGUACCUUGACGGUACCUAACCAGAAAGCCCCGGCUAACUACGUGCCAGCAGCCGCGGUAAU